rnacentral:snRNA from 1 species
UUGCACACACGCUGCAUUCUUAAAAUGAAUAAUUUGCAGAGAAUUACCCCGCUCCCUGCGCAAGGAGGACUUGCAAAAUUUGUGAAGUGUUCAAUGUUUUU